rnacentral:lncRNA from 1 species
GGGUAGAAUACUGUGAGAGGGCUACUGAAGUCAAGGCUAGACCUCAGUUGAGAUAUAUGAGGGGAGUGGCUGUGGAAUGUUAUUAGGAUGGUUGCUAUAUUAGUCAGGGUUCUCUAGAGUAACAGAAACACACACACACACACACACACACACACACACACGGAUGAUUUGUUAGCAUAACUUACAGGCUGUGGUCCAGCUAAUCCAACAAUGGCUAACUAUGAAUGGAAAGACAAAUGAAUCUAGUAGUUGUCCAGUCCACAAGACUGGAUGUUUCAACUGGUCUUCAGUAUGUGCCAGAAUCCUGAAAAAGUAGGUUCUAAUAAUGCUGAAAGAAUAGACUUGUUAAUAAGGUGAAAGCAAGAAGGCAAAAAAAAAAACAAAAAACAAAGAAACCUAUACCUUCCUUCUUCUUUAUUCUUAUAUAGACUUCCAACAGAAGAUAUGACCAGAUUAGAGAUGGGUCUUACAACCUCAAAAGUUCUAGAUUCAAGGUAUAUAUUCCUACCUCAAAGAUCAAGAUUAGAAGUGUAUCUUUCUGCUUCAAAUUAAGCAAAAACCCCUCACAGGUGUGCCCUAUUUUGGGUUUUUGUUUGUUUGCUUGGUUUUUGUUGUUGUUGUUGUUGUUGUUGUUGUUGUUGUUGUCGUUGUUGUUUUUUAGCUAUUUCCAAAUUGUUGUCAAGUUGACAGCCAAGAAUAGUCAUCAUAGCUGGAGAAAAAUAAGGGUCACAAGAUGGACUUUUCAAAGCAUGUAAUUCUUCUCAAGAGAUCAGACCAGUAUUGCAAUAUGGGGCAGUUGGAAGGAAACUUCACAAAAUACAGCCUUUCAGAAACACACAAGUAGCUGCAAUCAGUACUUCUGGUGUCCUCUGGAUUCUUGAAAUGAUGACAUUAAUUUCCCUCUUGGCUUAGAAGCCCCAGCAUCAAGAUCUCCCAUGGAGUUCUCUCAUCGGCAGUAUGGCAGGCUGAUGUUAUCUACCUGUCUUAUUGAAAGUUUCUAUUGCUGUGAAGUGACACCAUGACCACAGCAUCCUAGACCUCUGUGGGACUUACUACACAUAGGCUACCCCUCAUCUUCUCAAGAUAUUUUCUCUCAGACAAGUGAUACCCCAACCCAUGCCCUACCUAACCCAUGGAAAGUAGGCUAUGACCCUGCAGAAGCUCGGUGUAAGGGAAGGAAAGACAAAACACAGCCCUCUGUUCUGAAGUCAGACCUCCAUCCAUGUUCCUCCAUCCACAGAGGCAGCAAGAGAGAUGAUGCACUGGGAACCCAGAGUAUAAAGAAAAGGCACACAUGCUCACUGAAAUCCCAUGAGAUUUCAACAACCUGGAAAAGAAACUAUUGAUAGGUGACCUCAGAUACAGCCCAGAGACCAAGACAGAAGAGGAACAGAUAGGGGAAGCACUGUGAGACAACACGGGGCUUUGGAAGAGAGCCAUGACCAUUUGUUUAUUCUGGGGAAGCUGAUGCAGUGUAGGCAAAGCUGCCAGUGUAGCCAGGGCAGGUUCUUUGGAAUUUCCACCAUGGAAUUUGGAUGGCCUGUGGAAUAGGGAGAGGUGUCUGAGAGAUGCCCAGGAGGCUGUGAGGAGUUGGAGGUGGAGCGAGGCCAUGAUUGACCAUCACCAUAGAAACUUCCGCGGUAUGGAAAAGAAAGGAGAGAUAUGUGACUUGUUCCUUGCUGUUUUCAAUUGCGUCAUGUUUGCAGUUACCAGAACCCCUGCAUGGCUAGGUCUUUGUCAUUCCAUCUUUUUCCCUGUUGGAGAAUCUAGUUUCUAGGAAGUUUCUAGGUUCUGAUAGAAUAACAUGGGUGGAGGCAGCAGAAAGAGAGUCUCCAAGUGACAGACUUACAGAACCACCAUGGUUGGAGAACCACAGGCCUGGAUGUGGUCAUCUGGACCCACAGUCUCCUAUCUCAAGGUCCAAAGUAACAUUAACAUCACACCAGACAAAGAGUUCUGUUGGAGGGCUGGCUUGUGGGGGUCCUCAGAACACCUUUUAUUUGAUCAGACAUUGCCAAUAAUGCAUACUUUAAUUACAUGGAUUAUUAGGCAUUUGUAACCUCAUCAAAUUCAUAAGCUAAUGCUCCCUCCAAACAAAGAAGCAAGGAAAUGCUCUAGGGUUGACUCUGUAAUCUUUUGGGUUCCACUUUUGAGCUGC